rnacentral:rRNA from 1 species
AAUUUUGGACAAUGGGGGAAACCCUGAUCCAGCCAUCCCGCGUGUAUGAUGAAGGCCUUCGGGUUGUAAAGUACUCUUGGCAGAGAAGAAAAAGUACCUCCUAAUACGAGGUACUGCUGACGGUAUCUGAAGAAUAAGCACCGGCUAACUACGUUCCAGCAGGCGCGGUAAUACGGAGGGUGCAAGCGUUAAUCGGAAUUACUGGGCGUAAAUCGUGUGUAGGCGGUUCGGAAAGAAAAAUGUGAGAUCCCAGGGCUCAACCUUAGAACUGCAUUUUUAACUGCCGAGCUAGAGUAUGUCAGAGGGGGGUAGAAUUCCACGUGUAGCAGUGAAAUGCGUAGAUAUGUGGAGGAAUACCGAUGGCGAAGGCAGCCCCCUGGGAUAAUACUGACGCUCAGACACGAAAGCGUGGGGAGCAAACAG